GCCCUACGGGGGGCAGCAGUGGGGGAUAUUGCACAAUGGGGGAAACCCUGAUGCAGCGACGCCGCGUGUGGGAAGACGGUCUUCUGGAUCGUAAACCACUGUCCCCAGGGACGAAAAUGACGGUACCUGGGGAGGAAGCUCCGGCUAACUACGUGCCAGCAGCCGCGGUAAUACGUAGGGAGCAAGCGUUGUCCGGAAUUACUGGGUGUAGAGGGAGCGUAGGCGGGGAUGCAAGUUGGGUGUCAAAACUAUCGGCUCAACCGAUAGUCGCACUCAAAACUGCAGCUCUUGAGUGAAGUAGGGGG
rnacentral:rRNA from 1 species